UGUUACAUCUGCCCAUCCCAGAUACACAACAGAAUACACAGCAGAUAACAGAUAUUCAGAGAAGUUAGUUCGUAGGCCAGUGCUUGGAAAUGCGCAGAACACUAAACACUGGCUAUGUGCAUGUGAACCUAGAAGCUGAUGAGCAUUCAGUCAAACCUUACAGCCACCAAAAACCUGAACAUAAGAAUAUGAAUAAAGACAAUAAUUAGAAAAGGGCAUCAAUAAGCUAGGUUGAAAGCAUACGCAUAUUAAACGGUGCAACAAAGCAAGCUUCAGAAGGUAAAAAACCCCAUAUGGUCAUAUGUAACACUACCGUGAUUUUCGAUUAAUUUCUUUUACAGGUAUGAAGAAAUCUACUGUCUACAGUAUUGUGACAAAGUACAAACCUUGGCAGGCCACAAUAGAGGCUUGUGACUUUAGAAGGGGUCAAGAUGUUAGGCUCGAACUUCACAUUCUGCAAUACCACAACAACAAGGUACUCUAUAAAUCAGCUUCCAUGAUUAACUAUGUAUUUCCUUUUAAUAGAGAUGAGGGAACCUUGCUUUUCCUCUCUUUUUUUUAGCUGCUAUACCAAUCAGAUCUGGCUCAUAUGCUUGUGAUACCUAUUUGGGGCUUCUUCUCAUUGGCACCGCUAUUUCUUGAAAAAUUCAGAUCUUCUUCGCUUUAACCAGGAUAUCCGUUGGAGUUUCGGAGUUGGGUUCACUUCUUCGGGAUUCUAGCAAAGUGCAAGGAGUAGUCUCCAUUAUUUUCAGGACUAUCGAUAGGAUACCCAAGAUUGACAUAAGCUCAAAGGUACGAAACGUUACUAGACAGAGUUGAAGGAAAUAUAGAAUUGAAUCCUCCCAGUUUUGUGCUUGAGGAUACCAUCUGGCAAGGUGCAUUUGAUUAGUUGGCUAAUAUAUGAGUUGUAAGUGUUACUUUUACAUGUGAGCUUACUGUAAUUGUUACUUGGCUAACUAUUGUAGGGACACGUUAAUUUCGAUAAGUUCGUGAAAGAAUACAAGCAAAUCUGUUUUUA